AGAACACAAAAAAUCAUAGUUUUGGAUAUAUAUGUUUUUAACUCGGGUACAAAUCGGUUCUUAUCAGGUCGGAUAUAUUCGGGUCGGUUCUUUUCAGGUCCGGAUUUAUUCGGGUUGGUUCCUUUCAGUUUUUUCCGGUAAAAUAAAUUUAGACCCAAAAAUACUUGUAAAAUUUCGGUUCGGUUUCGGAUCGGAUAUCUUCGGGUCGGUUCCAGUACGGAUUUUCAGGUUAAAAUGCGAGGCCUACCUUGUGAUUGUGAUGAUGUUUGAUUAUAAUCAUUGCCUAACACUCUCUCCUCGUAUCUUGUUUCUUUCUUUCUCUACCACACAUAUCAUCUUAUCUCUUUGACAACAACAGAAUAAAUGUCCCAACCAACACUAGGAGAGCCAUCACAAAUCCUUCCUCUUGGUUUGUCCAUUCUAUGAUCUCGUUUUAAACAGCUUCUCUCUCUAUCUUUAACAAAGGUUUCUUCUCUUCCAUACUCAUGCCCUACGUCACUUCAGAUCUCAAGAUCGCAAUUAUCUUUUUUUACUUUCAGAGCAAAACAUAGUAAAAUGAUUGAUUACAUACUCGGUAAAAGCCUUCAGAAUAUGAGUUAUAUUUUGAGUACCACUCCCCCCAAAACCCACAAUAUAACUCAUGUUCUGUGGGUUUUUACCGAGUAUGGAGGAAAUCUCGAGAUUUGUGUAUGAAUGCUGCUAGGGAGAGCAAAGAAGAGGCUCUUUAUGGUUCAGAUAUGGUUCAUGGUUUGGUGAAUGUGGAUUUUGCUGGGUGUGAGGUCUAUUUGUCGUCCUGAGUCCUGGCCAGCUUCUUAAGUGUCGGCUUGCUAUUAUUUUAAGGGAACUAUUCGUGGUGGCGGAUAUUUACAUCUGUUGCUUUCACACUUGAUCAUCCUUUUCAGCUCAUUAUGGAUCUUUAUGUCGAUUUUUUUACUUAUGAAUUAACUCCAUUCCCUAAGUGGUUUCUGCUUAACUCCAUUCCCUAUGUACACCAAUUAUAUGGAAUCAGAUGUAGAAACACUAUUUUAUUUGUCCUGUUUUAUCUCUUUGUGGCUCUUGUGAAGCCUAUAAACAAAUCUACUUGCAUCAA